AAAGUCGUAACAAGGUUUCCGUAGGUGAACCUGCGGAAGGAUCAUUCACAAUAAGUGUUCAAUGGCACUUUUUCAAUCCAUUACCCACCUUGUGUGCAAUGUCAGGAGGGGGGGGACCCUCUCUCUCUCUCUCUCGCGGAGGGAGGAAGGGGUUCUCUUUUUCCAUACAUACAUCAUGUUCUUUCAGUAUCAGUCUACAUCAAUUGAGUAUAAAAUCUCUAAUACAACUUUCAACAACGGAUCUCUUGGCUCUC
rnacentral:misc_RNA from 1 species